AAAAAUACCAAAUGAUAAAAUAAAAAAUAUUAAAAAUCAUUUUUAGAAACUAGAAUUAAAAAGAGAAAUAAUGCAAUUGGUCCCAUAUUUUUUGGAUAAAAAAUGAAAGAGUUAUGGAUUUUUGAAAUAAAAUGGAAUUAAAGAAAAUAAAAUGGAAAAUAAGAAAAUCAGAAAAAGGAGAGGCGUCUGAUCAAGCCUCAUUAAUUGACGUGGCUGAUCAGACGCUCCACAUGC
rnacentral:lncRNA from 1 species